UACAACCAUAUCAUGUUUAAAUAUCAGUUCUCUUCCAGUCACUGAAGUUAAGCAAUGUUGAGCCUGGUCAAUACUUAGAUGGGUGACCACUUGGGAAUACCAAGUGUUGUGA